rnacentral:rRNA from 1 species
GAUGAACGCUGGCGGCGUGCCUAAUACAUGCAAGUCGAGCGAACAGACGAGGAGCUUGCUCCUUCGACGUUAGCGGCGGACGGGUGAGUAACACGUAGGUAACCUACCUAUAAGACUGGGAUAACUUCGGGAAACCGGAGCUAGUACCGGAUAAUAUUUCGAACCGCAUGGUUCGAUAGUGAAAGAUGGCUUUGCUAUCACUUAUAGAUGGACCUGCGCCGUAUUAGCUAGUUGGUAAGGUAACGGCUUACCAAGGCAACGAUACGUAGCCGACCUGAGAGGAGGAGCAGCAGCAGUGGAACUGAGACACGGGCGAGAAGCCGACGGGAGGAAGCAGGGGGGAAGAUUGGUAAAUGGGCGCAAGCCUGAUAAAGCCAUAACGAGGGAGUGAAGAAGGACUUAGGGGCGUAAAGCCCUUUUGUUGGGAAAGAAAAGCAGCAGGUGAAUACCCCGAGGUGCUGAGGGGACCCAAAGAAUAAGAACCGGCUAACUUCGUG